AAUAUUUUAAGGGAUCAAGUCUUAAGAAUAUGAGUUCCUCUGUGCAGGCGAGUGGGAAGCUGAGUUAGAGUAUGGGUUUGUCUUUGGGUGGGGAACAGAGCUGUAUGACGUAACCAUGUCUGUUUAGAUAUAGAUUGUUUUAUAAGUAAUGGCCAGAGUUGGAGAUUUAGGUACAAGGCUGAAAAUGAGAGACAUCAUUCCUUGGUGGUAGGUCGUUGCAGAUGAUACUGUGUUGUUGACAGGAACUUAAUGGUUGUUAGAGAGGUUUAAAUAAAUAUGGCAGAUUGUGGGAGAGAAAAAACUGAAAGUUAAUGUGGGCAAGAGUGAGGUAAAGGUGUCUGAAAGAGCAAGAGGAAACCAUUGAUUUUGCAAUACCAAGUGGAAUUCAGGCAUAAGUUAUGACAGAUUAUGACACAUGUAGCACAGCAAGCAUGAAUACAUUUAAUGGAAAUAAGCUGUAUAAGAGUAGAGUGUGGAGGAAGUAAUAGAGAUGUGUAUGAGAGUUAGUAUGGGUGUAGCAAAGGGAAGAAAAUUGUGGAGUGGUUAAAUUGAUUAACCCGGUAGCAGCGACGGGCCAAAUUUGUGGUUUUACCGUGUAGUAGUGACGGGCCAAAUUUGUGGUUUUACUGUGUAGUAGUGACGGGCCAAAUUUGUGGUUUUACCGUGUAGUAGUGAUGGGCCUAAUUUGUGGUUUUACCGUGUAGCAGUGACGGGCCAAAUUUGUGGUUCUACCGUGUAGCAGUGACGGGCCAAAUUUGUGGCAUGAUAUAACCCCCCCCCCUCCCCCCCCCAAAAAAAAAAAGAUGAUACAUAAUCUGAUCACAAAUGCUUUGAUAUAUAUUAUGAAAUGGUGUGUGAGGGGUGAUUUUUUUCUCAUUUUUCUCGCUUAGAGGGACCAAUAAGAAACAUGAUCCCCGCUGCUACCGGGUUAAUCAUGGUACAGGACUCGGAGAUAGGUGAAGCUGCGCCAAGUAGUAGUACUAAGGAAGGAACUGGAGGGAAUGGUAGCAAAGAUAAAGGUAUUGAUAUUCUUCAAAAACAAGAAACUAUGUUUUCCUCAAUGGAAAGGCAGUAUGAGAUGGCAAGAAUUGCCACACACACUCACAAGGGAUUUGGUUUAGGCUUCACUAGUCAGUCUUUUAUACCAAAGUAGUAGUUGUUAUCUACAGCCUCUCUUUUAACUUUUUUUUUUUCUUGUACAUAGCAUACACUGUGCACUGUUGUAGAAAAUAACUCGUUAACGAUAACUUUGAUGUAGAUAUUCAGUCUAGACAAGGUUAACCUGAUCAUAGUGCUGAUGAUCAGAAAUUAAAAACUAGAACACUAAUUUACAUUUCCUGUUGCCCCUUUUGUCAAAAAGAUAUACAGGAUCUCUAUUAAGUCAUAACAGCAAAGACUUAAGGUGUGGCAAUGCCUCAAAUUCAUUUUGUAGCUGCUACUCUGCUAGAAAUUGUAUUUAUUUAUUUUUUAUAUUUUAAUAGCACCCAGUUAGAUAUUAUGUGGCAGCAAUUAUCAAUAUUUUAUUACCAGAUGAGGUGAGAGGAAUAUCUCUUUCUGCUGUCAUGAACUGAAUCUCGUCUCUUGCUGUUUAAUUUUAAAUACUGACUCAAGAUAUUGCAUUGAGAUACAGUCAUAGCAGCAUCAUAUUCCUAAGCAAGCAUGGUUUAUUACGAAUCACUAUGAAUUCUGGUAAGUUGUAAUAUUGUUGUUUGUUUUUCAUUAUUGGGUGAUUUCAGAUAGUACAAAAUUUGAAAAAAGCACACACACACACACAUGCAUGUCCACAAACAUACUUGAGUGUAUUUUCAUUACACUAUAUGGCUUUAAUCAACAUACCAUGUGCUAGAUUCUUUUUGAUCAAGAUUAUCAGGUACCUAGGUAGCAAAAAAAUUCAUAGAAAAUAAAUGUGUUCCAAGAUCUUCAUUCAAAUGCAUGAGUAAACAAAACUCAUUUAAUUCCAUAUAAUAACAGUUUGAUAAAACAUAAGCCUAAGGAUAGUGUACCUGGAUAGUAAAGAUUGAAUUAAAAAAAUGUACCUCAGAAGUCACAUUUUUUCUGUCCCCUAAUUGGCCCAGCACUGGCAUUACUGUGUUCUUAACACAAAUUUUGAUCAUGAUAGCUGAGUAGCAUUGAUGAUGAUCUGUACUUGCAUAUAUCAGUCUCGUCAAUCAUACAUCAGGAUACAUGAACUGUUGCAUCUAUUUUCUGUUUAUCAAAGAUUUCUUAUUUGGCACCUCUGUUCACAUUGAAUUAUGCAGAUAUACUUCCCUGUCCUGCAGUUUUCAUUUAAAUGAAUGGUAUGGAGUAGGAAUGCAAAUUGACAAAAUGCUUGCUUAAACAGUGAUUAUAUCCAUUGAGAAACAUCAAACUGGGUCAGCUGUAUGAAAAGUUAUAAUACACUACAAGCUUUGCACUAUUUUUCUUGCAUUUUCCUCUUAGUCUCUGAUUUUUUAAGCCAUAUGGAACUUUGCUGUACUGAAAUUUAUGGCCGGCAGUUGUCUGAAUAGUAUAUGGUAAAAUGUCCCCAAAUUUGUACCAUUAAUUUAAGAUUAUACUGUAAUAAAAUGUCAAAAGUAGAACCAUGUUUUGACCUCAUUUAUAAAAUAAAUCAUUAGCCCAUCAGCGUCGGUACAGCUGGCAGCGGCGCCAAACAUGAGUAGUGUCUGGUUCGGUACGGCUACUAGUGUUUGUGACCCAUAACCCCAAGUUGGAGUAAAUUGUAGACCAUGGUAACAUGUGGCAAUUCACUAUAUAUGACUCAGGUAAAAAAAAAAUGGUCAAUUUAGUUUUUUCUCUCUCUCUCUCUCUCUCUCUCUCUUUUUUUAAUAACAAUGACAUUUGAGUAAAAAUAUAAAAUACUAAUAGCUGCUUGGAUGUUAAAGGGGCAGGCUAGUGUAUACAUCCCAUACUAUAUUGCUAGUCUCAUAUUUGGUCCAUAUUUCCCAUUUUUAACCACGCUUAGCUUCAAUUCAUCCAAAGUGGACGGUUAAGAAAAUGGAAUGGCAUAGUACCCUGGCACUCAUGUAUGACUCAUCAAAACAAAGUCAAUAGAUUAAAAUUCAUAAACUCGGUCUGAAUACACUUUCAUUUGUAUGAUGACACAUUCUGGUUCUCAUCUUUCCACUGAUCAGGCUUGUAGGCAAGAGGGAGGGAGUGUACUUCAUCUUUGUUUCACAACUCAACUUUCCUAGAAGUGAUUACAGGUAGUCGUCGAGUUACGAUGGGGAUUUAGUUCUGACAGGCAGGUAGUAAGACUAAUUGGUCGUAAGUCAAAAUUUACAUUAGAAAUAAAAGAAAAUAUAAUUCAAUGGUCUCAUCUUCAUCUUUGAAUGUUUUGUUCAUCUAGGAUUGCUGGUUCUGGUAAAUGGUCACCUAUAAGAACUGCUGCAGAAAUAUUGUGAGGGAGCUGUUUGGCUCCCCCUCCCCCACCUUUAGGGGGUUGUGCAGGCUAACUGUUGAACCAAACAGCUGAAACUUGUAAAUAAUGGAGAUAAUUGAGGAGACUCCCUCUACCCUUUGCUUGCCAACUGCAAACCAACUGGGGUCUGCUAGAUCUAGCAGCAAGCUACUAUAGCAGACUGUAGUCCUGUACAAUGAUAGAGAAGCAAUUUGCAACUGCAGUGUGAUUAGUACUUACUGCUUGAGUUCUUAAAGCAUCUGAAGGGGAAGGGUGAGUGGGCUGGCCCAACCCAUCCACCCUUUCCCCCCCUCCUGCCUUAUCCCAGCCUGGGUGGGGUGGGGCCAAUGCAUUAGGAUGGCAGUGGGAUGGGGGAUGGGGGGGUGAGGCACAGGAGCUCUGUGUAAACAAACUGCUGCUCUACCUGCAACAGGAUAUUUGAAAUGUCAACUCAUUACUCAAUCAAGUAUUACUAAUAUUAUUGGCCUGGUUGUAAGUGCAAGCAGUUGUUGGUUGCAUACAUUGUAACUUGAGGACUAUCUGUAUUUAAUUCUAAUUUACUUCUGAAAUAAAAAAGAGUUUCAUACAAGUA